rnacentral:rRNA from 1 species
UACGGGGGGAGCAAGCGUUGUUCGGAUUUACUGGGCGUAAAGCGCGCGCAGGAGGCUAUCCAAGUCAGUGGUGAAAGCCCGGAGCUCAACUCCGGAACUGCCAUUGAAACUGUUUAGCUUGAGGAUGAGAGAGGUGAGUGGAAUUCCCAGUGUAGAGGUGAAAUUCGUAGAUAUUGGGAAGAACACCGGUGGCGAAGGCGGCUCACUGGCUCAUUACUGACGCUCAGGCGCGAUAGCGUGGGGAUCAAACAGG